UUUAUUGAAAUGAUGAGUUUGUUCAUGUCUCUUCUCUGACCAAUUACUGGAGAGAAUGUAAAAAAAAACUCUGAUCACUGAA
ensembl:snoRNA